AAUCGUAUUGCUGGGGGUUGAUCUGGAAUUGUGUAUCCACGCUUUCCCAGUCGGCUCUAUCUGCAUAUACCCAUGUUUUUUGCGUACCUAUUGUUUCCUCGGCAGGCUUGCCUGUCAGUAGGACCCCACAAACCCUUUGUAAUAGAAGUCAGCGUCAAAACAAACUUAAUAGUUA
rnacentral:misc_RNA from 1 species